rnacentral:lncRNA from 1 species
UUUUUUGCGUGCGAGUUGUUCAUGAUUUCGACGUAAUCGAUCCUCGGCAAAUUCCAACACACGCACUAGGGUUCGCCAUGACCAUGGAGGAAGGAGCGCGCCAUGGCGGCCUUCCCGAGCUAGGCCCAGCCGGAGGAGGAGCCGAUCUCAUUAGCCCCCUCCCGGACUAUCUGCUCCUCCAGGUUCUCGCCAGCCUCCGCUGCGCCCGGGCCGCCGCGCGCACCAGCCUCCUCUCCCGCCGGUGGAGCUGGCUCUGGAGCCACCUCGCCAGUUUCACCUUCCGCGACGUCGAGCUCCGCUUGCUCCGGCCCGCGCUCGACUCCCUCGUCUACGUCCCUGACGUGUCCCUCCUCGACGUCCACGUCCCCGAG